rnacentral:tRNA from 1 species
AAUUAUGAAACAAUAAAUUGUAUUCAAUUACGAAUUGAAAUUUAAGUUUUAAACUCUUAAUUU